CUACGUGCCAGCAGCCGCGGUAAUACGGAGGGUGCGAGCGUUAAUCGGAAUAACUGGGCGUAAAGGGCACGCAGGCGGGCUUUUAAGUGAGGUGUGAAAUCCCCGGGCUUAACCUGGGAAUUGCAUUUCAGACUGGGAGUCUAGAGUACUUUAGGGAGGGGUAGAAUUCCACGUGUAGCGGUGAAAUGCGUAGAGAUGUGGAGGAAUACCGAAGGCGAAGGCAGCCCCUUGGGAAUGUACUGACGCUCAUGUGCGAAAGCGUGGGGAGCAAACAGGAUUAGAUACCCUGGUAGUCCACGCUGUAAACGCUGUCGAUUUGGGGAUUGAGCUUAAAGCUUGGUGCCCGAAGCUAACGUGAUAAAUCGACCGCCUGGGGAGUACGGCCGCAAGGUUAAAACUCAAAUGAAUUGACGGGGGCCCGCACAAGCGGUGGAGCAUGUGGUUUAAUUCGAUGCAACGCGAAGAACCUUACCUACUCUUGACAUCCAGA
rnacentral:rRNA from 1 species